GUUGAACGCUGGCGGCGUGCCUAACACAUGCAAGUCGAGCGAACAGACGAGGAGCUUGCUCCUCUGACGUUAGCGGCGGACGGGUGAGUAACACGUGGAUAACCUACCUAUAAGACUGGGAUAACUUCGGGAAACCGGAGCUAAUACCGGAUAAUAUAUUGAACCGCAUGGUUCAAUAGUGAAAGACGGUUUUGCUGUCACUUAUAGAUGGAUCCGCGCCGCAUUAGCUAGUUGGUAAGGUAACGGCUUACCAAGGCGACGAUGCGUAGCCGACCUGAGAGGGUGAUCGGCCACACUGGAACUGAGACACGGUCCAGACUCCUACGGGAGGCAGCAGUAGGGAAUCUUCCGCAAUGGGCGAAAGCCUGACGGAGCAACGCCGCGUGAGUGAUGAAGGUCUUCGGAUCGUAAAACUCUGUUAUUAGGGAAGAACAAAUGUGUAAGUAACUAUGCACGUCUUGACGGUACCUAAUCAGAAAGCCACGGCUAACUACGUG
rnacentral:rRNA from 1 species